rnacentral:lncRNA from 1 species
GCCUUGGUUCAGCAGCCCUGCCUACACCUUGUGACUAAGGUCCACUGGACAAAACCGGAUGCAAAAAAAUGGGACAAAAACCAGGUAGGGUGCUCAAGAAGAGUUUGGGCUAUACACUCACACAGCUAAAUUUCCCUUUGCAGUCUCAUCUUUUUUUUUUUUUUUCUUGAUUUUGCUUGUCUCGCUAGCAUUCAAACCCAAAGCCCAUCCCUUUUAAAUCUCCAUUCCUCCCUUUCCAAAUCAUCACGUGCCUGGGGUGUGAGAUGCCACUGUGCUCAUGAGGGAACUGGGCUGCUCUCCUUCUGCUUUGAGGAGGGUCGUUUUUUUUUUUUCUUCUUCUUUUAAUAAAGGCCUUUUCACGUUUGUUUCUCAGGCCUUCCUCAAAUACAAAACUGUCACUGUCCCCUGCUCCUUCCAACUCUAGGAUAUCAGCUUCAAACCUUUGUAUGAACUAAGUGGUAAUUUUGGAAAUUACAGAAACAUGUAAAGAAAAAGAGAAAAAUACAGCUGUGUCAUAACCUCAUUGCUGGAGGCAGCCGCUGUUAACAUCUUGUGGCGAACACUGAGCUUCAUGGCUGACUCUUCACAAUUUGAUGGGGAUCUUGCUAUGUUGCCCAGGCUGACCUUGAACUCCUGACCUCAAGCUGCCCUCUUGCCUCAGCCUCCCGAGUUGCUGGGAUUACAGGUGUGAGCUGCUGCACCUGGCCGAUUUAGUUUUCUGUAUGAGAUUUGGUACUCUGAAUAUUUCUUUCAUCCAGGAGAGAGUUAUUGCUUCUAUGUGCAGAUCUUAUUUGCAUUUGGGAUCAGGGACUGGAAAGGGCUCAGGGGUUUAUAUCAUUGCACCGAUUUACAAGAGGUGUUGACAGCGGGGAGGAGGAUCUGAGAUCAGGGACAUCACGAGGAGGCUGUGCUGAGCCUCAUUUCCUGCUGCCUUGAGCAACGUCUCCCAUUCCAGUGACUGUGGGAGGGCUGUGCCUCAUGGGAGAAGGCUGCUUUAUAGUCUGGGCCUCAGCCCCACGCUCCGGGACUCUCCAUGUGAGGUUGCAAACCAGCCCAGCAAUGGUCCUGGGUCCAGAUGAGCCUUUGUCAACAAUGGGCAACCACUUUGAGAUACCAGCUUGCCCAGACUGGGCAGUUUCUUUCCAGAGGCAAUGUGGUUUUGUUGAUGGAGCGCCUCACUGAGCAUCGGAAGUCCAGCCCUGCCAUUCUUUAACUUGGUGACCUUGAGGAUGUUGUGGGCUGCUUUGAGUCUUGUUCUGGUUUCCUCAGUGAGAAUCAAUGCAGAAAGUUGUAUUAAAGGCACUUGGUAACCAGGAAAGGUCUAAAUACACAUCUGAUAUUGUUAUUACUCCAGAAGCAAUUAUUUCACGCUGCAAAGGUGGAGGUAUUUAACAACUUGGAUAGCAACUGACUUUCUGAGAUUUUAUAAUCAUUGUAACAAUAUCACUUAAAAAAU